AACAUCCCAGUUCAGAAAGCUGAGCUAAAUAAAAACUCUAAGAAAUUAACAAUAGCUCUCGACAAACAUGGAGAGGAGUUGAAGAGAGAAAUAGAUAUUGGCAUCCAAAAACUACAAUUUGACGUGGAUGAAACAGAGUCCAAACACCUGGUUGCAUUUGAAAAGCAGGAAAAUGAAAUCAAGCACAGUAUUUCUGAAAUUACAAUGUGCAUUGCUGAUCUGAAGAAAUUACUCAACUCCAAUGAUGUCAGCCUUGUCUCUGCCUACAAAUCCAGGAUUGCUGAAUUCAGAAGAUUGCCUCCAACUCACAGUUUCCUUGCCAAGAUUCACUCCUCAGAAGAUUAAUAAAGAACAGAUUUAUCAGCAGAUUGGUUAUUUGUCAGCGUUAUCUAUCAAAACAGAAGAACAUGGCUACACAAUGGAUUCUCCCGGUGCUGAGUCCUCUCCCGUGGACAGACCGCUCAUUGAUCUACCACGGAUCAUCACAGAUAUAAACACAGAGUAUAGAGAAUCUAAUGAAUUAUACAGCGUGUCCCUUAUGAAUGAUGAUGAAUUGUGGACGUGUGGUCGGGACAACAUAAUGAGACUCUACAACCUCCACAGUAAAGUAGUUAAGUCAAUCCAAACCAAGUCCGGGAACAUACCAAUGGGCUUAGCAGUGACACAGAGUGGUGAACUGGUUUAUACUGAUCCCAAUGAUAGAACUGUGAACAUAGUGAAGAAGAAUAAUACACAGAUACUGACAGUAAUCAGAGUAAAGAAAUCGAGACCUCUCUAUGUCUGUUUUACUUCUUCUGGUGACCUCCUAGUUGUCGUGAUCACUGAUGAUAUGAAACAAGCAAAAGUCGUCCGUUAUUCUGGCUCCACAGAAAAACAAAGUAUUCAAUACAAAUAUAAAGGACAGCCUCUCUAUUCAUCUGGUAAUUACCCAAAAUACAUCAGUGAGAACAGGAACCUAGAUAUCUGUGUUGCUGACAAUACAGCCGGUGCAGUAGUGGUGGUCGAUCAGGCCGGGAAACUUCGUUUUAACUACACCAGUUCUUUCUCUACUACCAAGAAACCAUUUAGUCCAAUCGGCAUCACUACAGACAGCCACGGUCGGAUUCUAACAACAGACGGUAACAACCAAAAUAUCCACAUCCUGGAUCAGGACGGACAGUUCCUCCGCUUAAUUGACAAUUGUCAUUUACAGAAUCCAUUUGGUUUAUGUGUGGACACCAGAGACAACCUCUUUGUGACUGAACUGUUAACAGGCAAAGUGAAGAAAAUCCAGUAUUAUGCAUAAACAAAAUGUGAUGAUGAUGUUACAUGUCUACAAAAUGCAUGAACAUCAAUGUAAAUAAACCGAUUGUGUUUAAAUGUUAUAAUACAUCAACAAAUUAUCUAUAGUUAUAUCUAAUACAUAUAUCACCAAACUGUUCCUCGUGUUAUGUUUGAUCAAACUGUGGUGACUGCAACAAUUCAGAGACUGUAUGUUUCAUGUUUUAUAAUUACUUACUAUCUAUAUAUUUUACAUGAAAAUAAAGUGGUUAUGUGAUAAUAAAUGUAUACUAUCGG
rnacentral:sRNA from 1 species